UGCAGCACAUUGUCAAGGCCGAUUUGAUAACAACUUCCAAACGUCUGACCUCCAGGCUCCUUAAAAAACAAAGGCUGGCGUAAUAUUGAAUGGAAGGAAGGGAAUGACAACAACAAGCAGAUGGUUCUUUGUUUUGCCUUCUGCAAAUUAUCUUCAGUCUCUAGUCUCUGAAGGCAAUGGGAAAAGAAAAUAUUCGAUACCCUACAGUGUGGAAGCAGGCCCUUCGGCCCAACCAGUCCACACCGACCCUCUGAAGAGUAACCCACACCGACUCUCUGAUUAAAAAUUGACAUUUCCAGCAAUUUGCGUUUCUGUUUCUGAAUUCCAGCAUC